CCAGAAAGAGAACACCCUGGAAGUCAUUGGUUGGGACUUUGGAGGGAUGCAGGGUGAAGCAAGGCCUGGGGAAUAUUGCCGUGCCUUCCUGUUCUCUAGCUUCACUUCCUUGCUCCUCUCCUAGAAGAGUCUAUCAGAACUGAUUUUUGUCCCCAGGAAUGGGCCUGGGGUGACAACUAUGGACUGAAUUCUUCCCAUCCUAGGAGGUCACAUCAUAGAACCCACUCUUCCGUACCAGCACAAGAAAGGGACAGCAAGUGGAUGCAAAUCCCUUGCAAGGAGAAGAGAACAGACGUAGAUAAAGCAAGUUGGAGAAGUUCACGUGGCGAGAAACUGAGGGCAGCCUCUGAGCACCUGCCAGUGAGAAAUCAAGACCCUCAUUCUACCAUAUCACGAGGAAUCCUGCCAAGAACGAUGUGAGUGACCUUGCAAGUGGAUCCCCUCCAACUGAACCUUCAGAUGAGACCAUAGCCCUGCCUCACAGUUUGAGUGCAAUCUUGUAAGAAACACCGAGCUGGAUAACUCAACUAAACUGUGCCCAGAUUCCUGACCCACACAUACUGAGAAAAUAAAUGUGUUUUUUUUUAAGACA